rnacentral:rRNA from 1 species
UAAGGACCGGCUAACUACGUGCCAGCAGCCGCGGUAAUACGUAGGGUCCGAGCGUGGUCCGGAAUUAUUGGGCGUAAAGAGCUCGUAGGCGGCGUGUCACGUCUGCUGUGAAAGACCGGGGCUUAACUCCGGUUCUGCAGUGGAUACGGGCAUGCUAGAGGUAGGUAGGGGAGACUGGAAUUCCUGGUGUAGCGGUGAAAUGCGCAGAUAUCAGGAGGAACACCGGUGGCGAAGGCGGGUCUCUGGGCCUUACCUGACGCUGAGGAGCGAAAGCAUGGGGAGCGAACAGGAUUAGAUACCCUGGUAGUCCAUGCCGUAAACGUUGGGCGCUAGGUGUGGGGACUUUCCACGGUUUCCGCGCCGUAGCUAACGCAUUAAGCGCCCCGCCUGGGGAGUACGGCCGCAAGGCUAAAACUCAAAGGAAUUGACGGGGGCCCGCACAAGCGGCGGAGCAUGUUGCUUAAUUCGACGCAACGCGAAGAACCUUACCAAGGUUUGACAUCACCCGUGGACUCGCAGAGAUGUGAGGUCAUUUAGUUGGCGGGUGACAGGUGGUGCAUGGCUGUCGUCAGCUCGUGUCGUGAGAUGUUGGGUUAAGUCCCGCAACGAGCGCAACCCUUGUUCCAUGUUGCCAGCACGUAAUGGUGGGGACUCAUGGGAGACUGCCGGGGUCAACUCGGAGGAAGGUGGGGAUGACGUCAAGUCAUCAUGCCCCUUAUGUCUUGGGCUGCAAACAUGCUACAAUGGCCGGUACAAUGGGCGUGCGAUACCGUAAGGUGGAGCGAAUCCCUAAAAGCCGGUCUCAGUUCGGAUUGGGGUCUGCAACUCGACCCCAUGAAGGUGGAGUCGCUAGUAAUCGCGGAUCAGCAACGCCGCGGUGAAUACGUUCCCGGGCCUUGUACACACCGCCCGUCACGUCAUGAAAGUCGGCAACACCCGAAACUUGCGGCCUAACCCCUUGUGGGAGGGAGUGAGUGAAGU